GAUGAACGCUGGCGGCGUGCCUAAUACAUGCCAGUCGAGCGAACAGACGAGGAGCUUGCUCCUCUGACGUUAGCGGCGGACGGGUGAGUAACACGUGGAUAACCUACCUAUAAGACUGGGAUAACUUCGGGAAACCGGAGCUAAUACCGGAUAAUAUAUUGAACCGCAUGGUUCAAUAGUGAAAGACGGUUUUGCUGUCACUUAUAGAUGGAUCCGCGCCGCAUUAGCUAGUUGGUAAGGUAACGGCUUACCAAGGCAACGAUGCGUAGCCGACCUGAGAGGGUGAUCGGCCACACUGGAACUGAGACACGGUCCAGACUCCUACGGGAGGCAGCAGUAGGGAAUCUUCCGCAAUGGGCGAAAGCCUGACGGAGCAACGCCGCGUGAGUGAUGAAGGUCUUCGGAUCGUAAAACUCUGUUAUUAGGGAAGAACAAAUGUGUAAGUAACUAUGCACGUCUUGACGGUACCUAAUCAGAAAGCCACGGCUAGCUACGUG
rnacentral:rRNA from 1 species